UGAAAGUAACAUGGAUAUUUUUGCUGGCUUCAUGGUGGCCAUCAUCUUCGCAGCACCAUCUUGAUACACUCGGUGUUAUGGGGCUUGUCAGCUCUUCCAGGCAGAGGCUGGGUAGGGUAGCAGGCACAUCAAAGGGCUCUGCAGAAGUUGUGGAGGAAGAACAGAUGCAUUCUGAGGAUGCAGUCACAUGAGUCCCUGUGACAGCAAGAAGGUGAGACUGACUGCCUCUAGCCCUACCUGCUGAAUCGACGACCCUGGGCCCCUUGUUCAAACCCUUUCUACCUCCUGCCAUGUUCCCAAGUGGCUGCCUCGCCUUGGCUGAUACCUUAGCUGCUUCAUCCCCUCUCUGCUCACUUGGUCACCUCUGCCUCUUCUGUGGCCACUGUCACUCUCAACAUCUCCUCCUUGGGCCUGGGGCAUUUUACAUCUCCACCUCUCUCUUGCUUCAUGUGACUGAUAUUGCUCUGGGCAUCUGAAUCCAGAUCCCGGGCAGCCCAGGGUGGUGGUCUCAAGCCCUGCUCUGGAGGCAGGCUGCCCUGGAGCUGAGCUGCCUGAGGUUGGGCCUGGGCUUCUGGCUGAGGAGUACUUCUCUGACCUAUUUUUUUUUUUUUUUUCUAAGAGGCAGUGUCUUGCUCUGUUGCCCAGGCUGGUGUGCAGUAGUGCUAUCCUAGCUCACUGCAGCCUUAAAUUCCUGGACUCAAGUGAUCCUCCCUCCUCAACCUCCAAAGGAGCUUGGACUUCAGGCAUACACCACUAUGCCUGGCUAAUUAUUACUAUUAUUACAUGUUUUUUAGAGAUGGGAUCUUGCUAUGUUGCCCAGGCUGGUUUCAAACUCCUAGCUUCAAACUAUCCUCCCACCUUGGCCUCCUAAAAUGUUGAGAUUAUAAGAAUGAGCCAUUGCACCCAGGUUGACCUAGUUCUGGGAGCCUAGGGGGAUCGUGCAAAGCACUGAGCCCCUGUGUCUGUGGGACUUCCUGAAGGGAAGGCUCCAGGGUUUCUAUCCUCUUGACCUAUUCUUGGGAACCUUCCUUGUAUGCCUCCUUUGUCAUGGAGCUUUUGAAGGUCCCUUCUACCCUCUUCCAUUUCUUGUUCAUGUCUCUCCUGCUGGCCUGCGAAUGCUCUAAGCACAGAGAUCUGGGCAGGGACUGCUCUGUGCACCCUGUGACCAGCCUGUAUCCAAACCCCAGCAAAUGGAAUGGAAUCUUUCUUCCUGGGAGCACAUCCGUCCACCCUGCCCUCUCCCCUGGCCCCACACAACAUUCAUUUUCCUCCCUGGAUCCCUCAGUUCUCACUCCCCUCAUUACUCAUUCUACAGUUGUCUAAAAUGACAUUGCGGGAAAAUACAGAAGAGAGACAUCACGGGUACCCAAGGGUGAGUAGUGAGCAUGGUGCAGUCAGGGGUGACUUUUCAGAGAAGGGGAGGUUGGGGUGAGUCAAGGUGGGCCGUGGGCUUUGCAGGAAGGAUGAGGGAAGGACCCUGGGUGGGCAAAGGCCAGAGGGCUUGAACCUGCGUGGAGGGAGGGGCAGCCUGGUUGUGCAUGCGGUGAGCAUGUGUGUGAGUGCAUAUGAGUGUGCGUGUGUGUGCGUGGGUGACUGUGUGAGUGUGUGUGUGUGCAGAUCAGUAAUGAGAAGCCAGGUUGCUAGGCAGCCAGUCCCAGAUCUUUGAGUGCCAGUUUUGAGCUGCCUUGAGUGGCAGCAGCAAGCCACAGGAGAAGCUAAGUGAGCAGCCACCUCCCUUGCAUUUCAUCCCCAAGCUGGCCGUGCCCUUCUGCACCCACAGCAUGGCUACCUUGCUGUGCAUAGCUGGGCGUCGAGAAAACUCACGGUUAACUCCUCUGUCCACUGCCUGACACCAGUGUGACCGACAGCGAGUUCUGACAACUCGACCUCUGAGUUGCUUCUUGGAUCCAUGGCCUCCUGCCCGCACCUGUCCUGGCCAGGCAGGAUCUCCCUGCCUCCAGCCAUUCCUGCCCUAAUCACUCUCCACUCUGCUCUCUGCUGCUUGGUUGGCUGCCCUCAACACACUCCUCUGUUUACAACCUUUAAAGGAGGAAUGAGAGUCCACAGUCUUGCAUGUGGCGUUUACUACCUCACUGACCUUCUGACUCUUCAGUGCAAGCUGGUGUUUUUCAAAGAUGGCACAUCCUCUGCUGGUGCCCGGAUGUAGGAAGCCACACGUCUGGACGGCCUGGGGAGAAAGGAGCGCUGGGAACGGUGACCUGCUGCAGUGUAGGAUGGGUACCACCAGCCCUGACAUGUGCAUGCAAAGAGAGCAGCAGAUGAGACAGAGACUCCAGCAUCAAUUCCUCUUGAGCACAGAAGUCCAAUUGUCCCAUUUUGCACAGUUUGCGUCCCCGGCAUCUUUGGACAAUUCAAGGAGAAGAGAUUCCUCCAGAGGAUGAGACAAGGUCUCACUUUGCCACCCA
rnacentral:lncRNA from 10 species